rnacentral:rRNA from 1 species
GACGGAGGAGGCAAGCGUUGUCCGGAAUUAUUGGGCGUAAAGAGCUCGUAGGCGGUCUGUCGCGUCUGCUGUGAAAACUCAGGGCUUAACCCUGAGCUUGCAGUGGGUACGGGCAGACUAGAGUGCGGUAGGGGAGACUGGAAUUCCUGGUGUAGCGGUGAAAUGCGCAGAUAUCAGGAGGAACACCGGUGGCGAAGGCGGGUCUCUGGGCCGUAACUGACGCUGAGGAGCGAAAGCAUGGGGAGCGAACAGG